rnacentral:lncRNA from 1 species
UUUUAAUAGUAAUUCAUCUCAGUGUGGACUCUCAAACCUCAAUUUAUCUUUGUUGCUGCCAACGUUUGGAUUACUCUGUGGCUCUGUGUCUCUGUCACUGCUGUGAGGCCCAGAAGGAUCAGAGGGAAUUGAUAUACACAAGGAACUGAAUUUCAACUAAUGUGAGCUUGUUGCUAAUUUUCUAACACAUAACCAAGAAACAUUCUAAUUCAUUACUGUUUUGUCAUCGCCGUCCUCCAGAGGAAACUCUUCUGUGUAUUCAUUUUUCUUGAAGCCUUAUUCAUCAAGCUACAGACUGGAUCCCCUUCCCUCCACUACAUCAGGAAAUGAGGCCCUGCUCUAUUGUACUCUUCAGGACUCCCAAGAGGAGAAAACUGAGGUAUGGAGAGAAGAGAAGCCACUCACCCAAGGAUGCGCACCUCUGUGCAGAGACCUCCCCCAGCUUUGCAUCAUCCUCCAAUCUGAUAAACAGGGCCUGAAGUUGACCCAGGAGCCAGUGCCAACUUGAUGACCCAUCCAGUUAUAGACGCUCUGAGCAGAGCAGAUAUCUCUUUGUGGCUCAU